rnacentral:rRNA from 1 species
UACGAAGGGUGCUAGCGUUGUUCGGAAUUACUGGGCGUAAAGCGCGCGUAGGCGGCUUUUCAAGUCAGGGGUGAAAUCCCACAGCUCAACUGUGGAAUUGCCUUUGAAACUGUAAAGCUUGAGUGUCGGAGGGGAUAGCGGAAUUGCUAAUGUAGAGGUGAAAUUCGUAGAUAUUAGCAGGAACACCGGUGGCGAAGGCGGCUAUCUGGACGACAACUGACGCUGAGGCGCGAAAGCGUGGGGAUCAAACAGG